rnacentral:rRNA from 1 species
AUUGAACGCUGGCGGCGGGCCUAACACAUGCAAGUCGAACGGUAACAGGAAGAAGCUUGCUUCUUUGCUGACGAGUGGCGGACGGGUGAGUAAUGUCUGGGAAACUGCCUGAUGGAGGGGGAUAACUACUGGAAACGGUGGCUAAUACCGCAUAACGUCGCAAGACCAAAGAGGGGGACCUUCGGGCCUCUUGCCAUCGGAUGUGCCCAGAUGGGAUUAGCUAGUAGGUGGGGUAACGGCUCACCUAGGCGACGAUCCCUAGCUGGUCUGAGAGGAUGACCAGCCACACUGGAACUGAGACACGGUCCAGACUCCUACGGGAGGCAGCAGUGGGGAAUAUUGCACAAUGGGCGCAAGCCUGAUGCAGCCAUGCCGCGUGUAUGAAGAAGGCCUUCGGGUUGUAAAGUACUUUCAGCGGGGAGGAAGGGAGUAAAGUUAAUACCUUUGCUCAUUGACGUUACCCGCAGAAGAAGCACCGGCUAACUCCGUG